UCACACCCGUUCCCAUCCCGAACACGGAAGUUAAGCUCUCCAGCGCCGAUGGUAGUUGGCGGGACACCGCCUGCGAGAGUAGGACGUUGCCGGGC
rnacentral:rRNA from 2 species